rnacentral:lncRNA from 1 species
GUGACUUAUCCUUCUCUUUCCCUACAGCAUGAUCUAUAGGUAACUCGGGGAGAGGGAAGGAGAGAGCGGCGGAGCACUUGGUAGCAGCAGUGGUCCUCUCAAUCCCAUGGAACGUGUUUGUAGGGACCCAAAGCCUGGAGAAACCCCAUGUGGAACCUAAUGCUGAACCGCCACCUCGCCAGCUGCCUGUGUGAGUCAAUCAGAACACGAAAAAGCAACUAGAAGGAAACUACAGGGAGUGACGUGUGCGCAGAAGCCGGUUCAGUUAGUGGGUUCCUCGCAUCGGUGACGUGUCGGGAAGUGGAAGAAGAAGGUGGUAGGAGGCGACACCCUUGGAGGAGUGAGGAGAGGAUAGGAAGGACACCACAGUACUUCUUCGGCGUCGUGAACACUUUCCCCUGCAGACAAUGGAGUGACAUUUUCUGUUGCCCAUGGAGGCCACAAGACUCCUGACCGCAGGCAACACGGCCGAGAAGAGAAGACACUCAUUUGGACUUCUUGUGUCUUGGUGAAUGAAAUACGAAUGGUAAUAUACAAAUAUUGUUAUGUGGGACAGUAAUUUCAUAAUUCUAGUACAUAUAUGGUUAUGCAGUAGUGAUUUCAUGAUUUUAAGAGUUGAAGUAAAAGCAUUCAUGUCCAACUCUUGGUUAAUUUAAUGGAAAUGCGCCUGUAAAAUUAUGUACAGUUGUCUCAAGCAGUCUAGAUAUCAAAAGUUAGAAGAAAACAUUCAUAGCUAUUAACUCUUGAACUGAAUACAAACACAGUUGUCCUAAGUAGUCAUUCCAAAACAUUCAAACAAGUAAAGCAUCUUCUCUUUGCACCAUUUUUUUUUUUAAUUUAUUGAUUAUUUUUUAACGCUAUGGCCUAUGGCACCUGUAGGUCCAUUUGGAGUAUGUAAAGAAGCGCUGUUUAGCUUCCACCCAUUAGUGAAGCAGGCAAUUUUAUUUAUAGUGUUACCCAUAUUAGGACCCAUAUCACCACCCAAGUUCAUCUUUGGUGUAACCACCUAGAACCUGGGUAUCAUGGUGACUUGUAGGUAUGUAACUUUAAACCACUCAAUAAAUGACGAAGUUUCAAGGUGGUACGUGGUGGGAUUCAAACUUACGCAUGUAUGUCUGCCCAAUCCGACGCUCACCACCUUAUCCACUACGCCGCUGCCUCCCUAACUCCACCUUUCUCAUCGCCAGCCUUACCUUCGCACGAGGCUUCAUAAGGCACGUAUGUCAUGGAUUCUUGACAAGUAUUCAGAUCAAAUUAGUUCAAAGCUAGGAAUGUGCACCGAAACUAGGUGCAUAUACCAAAAUACCAGUAUUUUAGCUUCGGUAUUACUGGUAUUGGAAUCAUUUCGAUACACCACUUCACUGGUAAUUUUGUUUUCAAUAUACCACUAAUUUUUUUUGUUUCAGUAUUUUUUUUUUUUUUUUUUUUUUUUCAAUGUCCCAAUAUUAAUACACACGUUUUGCCUGCUCUCCUUGUUUCCCAGUAAGUCACAGAUUGUAUCUCCUUGGAAGAUCAUGUUCCCCUCUACUACUCAUGCAAAGAUGAGAAAUCCUUUCCAGACGCACUACUCAGUCACACCGAGUAGAGAUGUACGGUAUCAACAAAAAAAAAGCCAGUAUCGAUAUUGCCGGAUGUGCUGCACUGGUGGCGUGGCAUCAAGGGAAGCGCCUCUUUGUAUCCCUGCCCAGCACUUAUUGAACAUAUGAAGGUACUCCAGAGUUUCAAGAAAGGGAGUGGCACACACUUUGCUGCACUCCAAGUAAGGUUUUUGGAGGUCCAGUGGCACACAGCACACUGCUUUCAUAAACGUGUGUGCAGAGUGCAAGACAGAAAGGGGCAAGGAUGGAGGAUGCUUCAACAUUCACAGCAUUAUUGGUUCAUGGUUCCUUUUUUGUGGAAGGUAGUACAUACAGUUUUAACCGAAGGAUUAUGUCAUCAUUCAUAGAUUUCACAACUUAACAUUGUGCAUCAAAUCACUUCAUUACAUAUAAUUAGCUAUAAGGAGUAAUGGUUUAUGAAAUUUAUAAUAUAUAAAAAGUUACUUAGAAUAUUCUAAGAUUUGUUUAAAGGUCUCUGUUUAUUAGCAUGUCAGUCUUAAAAGUCCAGUUUGUACAGACAUGAAUCAAUUCAUUUGUCCAUUGCACUUCUUCCUGCAGCCAACACUGCAACAAGGUGUGUGUAGCUUUGUGGGCAAGUGCACCAGUCAUUCCUUGAUGUCAAUGUCUUUCAUUUAAGGGAAAAAAAAUGUGUAAUUAGGUCUAUAUACAUUUUAAAGUGAGAAUAUUUAGACUAAUUAAAUAGUAAGUUUCUCAACUUUUUAAAGCUUUGGUGUUACUGUUCUGCAAAAGAUUUCAGGGGCCGGAUUCUACAAACUGUCGUAGCUAAUGACAUGAUAGUAGCGAGACAAAUUGGUGCAUUUUAGACAGGCUCUAACCUGAUGACUCUUGUGCCCUGUUGUCGUGCCGCCAACUGCCAUUUUAAGACUUAUGUCAGCAUGGGGGGAACUUAGUUGUAUGUACCUGACAUGGGGGGAACUUAGUUGUAUGUACCACAGCAUGAUCUCCGACUGUUUUUAUGAAUUAAUGAUAAAUGUCCAUAAUGAUUAAGUAAUCCUUCUUCAAUGCAGUAAUUUACCAUUAUAGAUAAUUGCUGAGACGGGUACAAUCAGUUAACCAAAAACAAACUUUGCCCCGCAUGUGUCAGGCAUAAUCUCGACUCCUGUUUGUCAUGUUCUUUGACAAUAAUAUGUGUACA